rnacentral:rRNA from 1 species
AAUAUCUAAACGGUNNAGAUUNAAUAUUGUAGCUUGCUACAAUGUGCACUUCUCGCUUAGUAAGACGCUGUGAUCCAUUAGAAAUUGACCAUUGCGGUUAUUUGGCUAUCAAUAGGCCGGCAUAAAGUUCAUUGGUGCAAAUAACUCGAUCCUUUAUGGUUGGGUAUAUUGCUUGGUGAGUUUGUCGUGUCCUGUAUAGCUGUCUGAUGGAUUUUAAAGGUCAUAACAUUGAUGCUCCGGUAUCACUCAUACGUGAGAAUGGUUAUGUGCCCGAUCAACAGCGGUUAAAUUUGGGAUACCUUUUGGACCCGUCUUGAAACACGGACCAAGGAGUCUAUCUAGUAUGCGAGUAAAUGAGUAUAUUAAACUUAUUUGCGUAAAAAACUUGACUGUUAUGGGAUUACGAGUCGUUCACUUGUGUCGGCUCCUCCAUCCCGGAGUAUUUUCAUCCACAUAUGCAGCAAUGUAUAUGGAAAAUAUAUCAUGAGCAUACUGGAUAUGACCCGAAAGAUGGUGAACUAUGCUUGAUCAGGUUGAAGUCAGGGGAAACCCUGAUGGAGGACCGAAGCAAUUCUGACGUGCAAAUCGAUUGUCAGAAUUGAGCAUAGGGGCGAAAGACCAAUCGAACCAUCUAGUAGCUGGU